CGGGGAGUCUUACAGGAGUAAGAAAUUGAAAUGUUUCCGGUUAUUUGAAUGUGGUUCAGGUGUGGGUCCUUGUUCACUUCUGUUACCAUGUGUUUGGUCAGGAGUUGAGUGUUGUUUUUGGCACUUAAGUUGUCAAAUCCACCAUUAAUUGAAUAAUCCGCUUAACCCUGAUUUUCUGGGUCUACAGGUGGUUAUCGUGGCUAUACUUCUGCUAUUUUUAUAUUGUUUUUAUUUCAGAUGUAGGAAACAUCUACGCUGCAACUGUCUCUGUGGCCUAGUCUCACCUCAAAAUCUGGUCCGGGGAUCUUGAUGGAUUACUCUUUAAAUGCCGAAUGUCCACACCGGCUCUCACUUGACUCUGGUUCGGUGAUUUUUGUGAACCGCGCGGGAGGAAGCCAGGAGUCCCCAGGGAAGCGGCCGGGGGGGGGGGGGCAGCCGGUGGGGUAAUGGUGCAGCGGCUUGUGAAACAGCCCGGGCUCUCCAUUCUCCACCAGAGAGCUUCCAGUCGACCAACUUUACAAAGGAGGUUUCUGUGUGCAAGUUUGUUUGAAGACAGUUUCCUGACUUCAAAAAGUUUUUAAAACCCUUGAUCAUGCCUAGGUCUAAUCCUUUUAUUUUUAGGGAUGCAGAAAAUGAGACCCAGAAAAUUCAAGUUGACCCCUCUGGAGGCACACGACUGUUAGUGUAUUAGCAACUAGUUGGCAAAGUCGUUUGCUUUUGAUUUUUGUCGCUGUUGUUAUCGACUCAGUUUGCUCAAAGAUGUGGGGAGUGACAGCCAUUAGGGUACCGGGGAGAGGGGAGGACCAUAGGUUAAGGACUAGGGUGGGGACCUCGUGACAAGGACUUGUGCUUUUCUGCAAAAUGAGAAGACAAGUUAGAAGCUUUCUCUCCCAUUUCUUCCCUCCUUCUAGAAUGCUGCUCUCGGUCCUAUGAAUCUCUGCGACAGCUUUUCCUCCCCUGAAUAAUCACAACGUCGCCAAUUGAACUAACUGCUUUAUUAUACAUGUGUAUUAUAUAUGUAUAAUAUAUAUUAUAAAUACAUGUAUUUUGGGUGGAUAUAUGUAUGUAUAAUGUAUAACAUUUGAUAAUGCAAUUGAUGUGAAUUCUGGAUGGCCUGUAGAAUGUGAUUAUAGAAUUCAGAGGAAAUUCUUUGUUUGCAGAGAAGUUUCAAAAAUUCGUCACCCAUUGGCCUUAAGAUAGAUUGGAUUUACCCAAGCGAGAGAUCUUUCUCUUCCAGAAUUCCAUUCCUCUAUGAUGCUGGAGGAUAGGGUGUGGUCACUAGCAUAAUCGCGGGGGGGUGGGGCGGCGGGGGGGGGGGGGGAGCAAACAGGGGAGUGGCUGGAAGACUUUUUCCUGUCCCUCGAUCACAAAAGAAAUCAGGAAUUUAGUUUUAGGUGGUAGAGUGAUGCAUAUAAGCAGUGGAGAAAGACUACAAUGAGAGUUUGUG
rnacentral:lncRNA from 1 species